rnacentral:rRNA from 1 species
CAGUAGCCACGGGAAUACAUAGGUGGCAAGCGUUGUCCGGAAUUAUUGGGCGUAAAGGGCUCGCAGGCGGUUUCUUAAGUCUGAUGUGAAAGCCCCCGGCUCAACCGGGGAGGGUCAUUGGAAACUGGGAAACUUGAGUGCAGAAGAGGAGAGUGGAAUUCCACGUGUAGCGGUGAAAUGCGUAGAGAUGUGGAGGAACACCAGUGGCGAAGGCGACUCUCUGGCCUGUAACUGACGCUGAGGAGCGAAAGCGUGGGGAGCGAACAGGAUUAGAUACCCCAGUAGUCCCUGUCUCUUAUAC